CAGAUUCCAGAACAAAACUCGAGUGCCCAAGGUGCAAUAAAUCCAAUUUUUUUUGCAAAAUCAAAUCAGCAGGCACUCUGAUUAUAUAGUAAUAUAU